ACAGGGAUUGCCCUAGUAACGGCGAGUGAAGCGGCAACAGCUCAAAUUUGAAAGCUGGCUCCGGCCCGCAUUGUAAUUUGCAGAGGAUGCUUUUGGUGAGGUGCCUUCCGAGUUCCCUGGAACGGGACGCCACAGAGGGUGAGAGCCCCGUAUGGAUGGACACCAAACCUGUGUAAAGCUCCUUCAACGAGUCGAGUAGUUUGGGAAUGCUGCUCAAAAUGGGAGGUAAAUCUCUUCUAAAGCUAAAUACCGGCCAGAGACCGAUAGCGCACAAGUAGAGUGAUCGAAAGAUGAAAAGCACCUUGAAAAGGGGGUUAAACAGUACGUGAAAUUGUUGAAAGGGAAGCGCUUGUGACCAGACUUGCGCCGGGCGGCUCAUCAGGGGUUCUCCCCUGUGCACUCCGCCCGGCUCAGGCCAGCAUCGGUUCUCGUGGGAGGAUAAGAACGGUAGGAAUGUGGCCCCCUCUCGGGGGGGUGUUAUAGCCUGCCGUACGAUACUCUCGUGGGGACCGAGGUUCGCGCUCCGCAAGGAUGCUGGCGUAAUGGUCAUCAGCGACCCGUCUUGAAACACGGACCAAGGAGUCGUCCAUUAGAGCGAGCGUUUGGGUGUCAAACCCGCACGCGUAAUGAAAGUGAACGCAGGUGAGAGCUUCGGCGCAUCAUCGACCGAUCCUGAUGUUUUCGGAUGGAUUUGAGUAAGAGUUUUAACGGACGGACCCGAAAGACAGUGAACUAUGCUUGUAUAGGGUGAAGCCAGAGGAAACUCUGGUGGAGGCUCGCAGCGGUUCUGACGUGCAAAUCGAUCGUCAAAUAUGAGCAUGGGGGCGAAAGACUAAUCGAACU
rnacentral:rRNA from 1 species